rnacentral:rRNA from 1 species
AACUAACGCUGGCGGCGCGUCUUAAACAUGCAAGUGGAACGGUAAGGCUUCCUUCGGGAAGUACACGAGUCGCGAACGGGUGAGUAACACGUGGGUAAUCUGCCCUGAAGUUGGGGAUACGCUCGGGAAACCGAGAAUAAUACCGGAUGUGGCAAUUUGAUCACAAGGUCGAAUUGCUAAAGCUGGGGAUCGCAAGACCCAGCGCUUCAGGAUGAGCCCGCGGCCAAUUAGUUUGUUGGUGAGGUAAUGGCUCACCAAGACUACGAUUGGUAGCCGGCCUGAGAGGGUGAACGGCCACACUGGGACUGAGACACGGCCCAGACACCUACGGGUGGCUGCAGUCGAGAAUCUUUGUCAAUGGACGAAAGUCUGAACAAGCGACGCCGCGUGCGGGAUGAAGGCC